rnacentral:rRNA from 1 species
UACGGAGGGGGCUAGCGUUGUUCGGAAUUACUGGGCGUAAAGAGCGCGUAGGCGGUCUAUCAAGUUGGGAGUGAAAUCCCGAGGCUCAACCUCGGAACUGCUUUCAAAACUGAUUGACUUGAGAAUGGUAGAGGAUGGUGGAAUUCCUAGUGUAGAGGUGAAAUUCUUAGAUAUUAGGAGGAACACCGGUGGCGAAAGCGGCCAUCUGGGCCAUUUCUGACGCUGUGGCGCGAAAGCGUGGGGAGCAAACAGG